UACGUAGGGAGCAAGCGUUGUUCGGAUUUACUGGGCGUAAAGGGCGCGUAGGCGGCAGAUCAAGUCAGCUGUGAAAUCUCCGAGCUUAACUCGGAACUGUCAGCUGAUACUGUUUUGCUAGAGUGCGGAAGGGGCAAUCGGAAUUCUUGGUGUAGCGGUGAAAUGCGUAGAUAUCAAGAGGAAUACCUGAGGCGAAGGCGGGUUGCUAGGCUGACACUGACGCUGAGGCGCGAAAGCCAGGGGAGCAAACGGG
rnacentral:rRNA from 1 species